UUGCCAUGAUGGUGACAUUUUUCGUCAACAGCAUUUCACACAGUGAAUGGUGACAUUCCAUGUCUGAGCAA